rnacentral:lncRNA from 1 species
GCGAGAAUAAUUAAUUUAAUAGGGCACAAGUAUCACAUGACUGAGCCCUAACUUUUUUAAUACUAUACUAAUAUUCUAUUAACUUCAACUGAAAAAAGCGGUAUUAUAUAAUUUAGCGGUUGUUGUGAUCGAAAAAUGCUGAAUUGGAUCCCCUAUUUGAAUUAGUACCAACCAUCCGGCAGUCUUAUCAGUCAGCAGGCCAACCAUCUAACCA